rnacentral:rRNA from 1 species
GACGAACGCUGGCGGCGUGCUUAACACAUGCAAGUCGAACGGUGAAGCGCCUUCCUUUUUGGUGGGUGUGGAUGAGUGGCGAACGGGUGAGUAACGCGUGAGUAACCUGCCCCCUUCUUCUGGAUAACCGCAUGAAAGUGUGGCUAAUACAGGAUAUUCUGGGUCUGUCGCAUGAUGGGUCUGGGAAAGAUAUUGUUUCGGUGGGGGAUGGGCUCGCGGCCUAUCAGCUUGUUGGUGGGGUGAUGGCCUACCAAGGCGGUGACGGGUAGCCGGCCUGAGAGGGUGGACGGUCACACUGGGACUGAGACACGGCCAAGACUCCUACGGGAGGCAGCAGUGGGGAAUAUUGCACAAUGGGCGCAAGCCUGAUGCAGCGACGCCGCGUGAGGGAUGGAGGCCUGCGGGUUGUGAACCUCUUUCGCCAGUGAAGCAGGCCUGCCUCGUUUGUGGGUGGGUUGACGGUAGCUGGAUAAGAAGCGCCGGCUAACUACGUG